CUCCCCUUCUAAGAAAAAUGCUCCGUCCUUCUUUUCUUCCUUUUCUUCCAUUGUUUCUUGCCUUGCUAGGCAGGAGUGGCUGAGAAUCAAGGCCACAUCUUCCAGCUCCCUUUGUGACAAGGUGUGACUUCCUGACUCAGAAAUCUGGCCAAUAGGAUCCGAGCAGCAGUGAUGUCGUAUCGCUGUAUCCGCGGUGCUCUUAAAGGGCAGGGGGUCCUCCCCUCUUCCCUCCUCCUUGAUUUUCCUGGUGGGGGAGUGCAGGCGUGGAGGGGGUGAGGAGCCUUCGUGGAUUGUAUGGUAAUGGCAGCACCGGGGCUGGCAGAGCAACAAGACGGACGGGGCCUGGGCCCCUGGGCUGCCCCGGCUCUGUGGGCUGCUAACGGAAGGCGGAGACAGCUCUCCGCUGUUGAAGCUGCCGGCCGGCAUCUCUGGCAACGCAAACUCUGCUGUACAAAGCCUGGACCCCUGGGGACUACCUCACCCACUCCCUCAGCCUGGAUUCAGUGACAUACUUGCUCCUGUGGACUUUGCCCAAACAAGACACUGGGGUGGCCAGGCAGCAGCAUCAAUCCUGCACUGAAUUCAGAUCUUAGCUCAUUCCGACCUUGUUGGCAAGUUUCGGAACGACCAUCAUAACAAGAAGCAUGCUAAUAGUGACAGCUGUGACUCUAUGCUGGCACCUGCUCAGCACUUCACCUCCAUCCGCAUUUCUCAGCCUCGGUGUUCCUGAUGUUUUGGGCUGGCUAAUUUCUUUGCUACCCUGAGCACUGAAGGACAUCUAGUCCUAGCCAUCUAUGAUCUAGAACUUUAGUAAAGGCUCUGCUCUAAGGAAAUGCU